rnacentral:rRNA from 1 species
ACGAACGUUGGCGGCGUGGAUUAGGCAUGCAAGUCGAACGAAUCCCAGAGGGCUUGCUUUCUGGGGAAAGUGGCGAAAGGGGCAGUAAGGCGUGGGUAACCUACCCUGGGGUCUGGGAUAGCCGUCCUAACGGAUGGGUAAUACCGGGCGACGUGACGAGGGGGCAUCUUCUUGUCACCAAAGGUUUACCGCCCUGGGAGGGGCCCACGUGGUAUUAGCUUGUUGGUGGGGUAACGGCCUACCAAGGCAAAGAUGCCUAGCGGGUGUGAGAGCACGACCCGCGCCACUGGCACUGAGACACUGGCCAGACUCCUACGGGAGGCUGCAGUCGAGGAUCUUCGGCAAUGGGCGCAAGCCUGACCGAGCGACGCCGCGUGCGCGAUGAAGGCCUUCGGGUUGUAAAGCGCUGUCGAGGGGGAGGAAAGCCCGCAAGGGUCUGACUAAUCCCUGGAGGAAGCACGGGCUAAGUUCGU